AACGUAGGACGCAAGCGUUAUCCGGAGUUACUGGGCGUAAAGCGCGGGCAGGCGGUAGGUCAAGUCUGAUGUGAAAUCUCUCCGCUCAACGGGGAGCAGCCAUUGGAAACUGGGCGACUGGAGUCUGACAGAGGUAGGCGGAAUUCCGGGUGGAGUGGUGAAAUGCGUAGAGAUCCGGAGGAACACCAGAGGCGAAGACGGCCUACUGGGUCAGUACUGACGCUGAGCCGCGAAAGCCAGGGGAGCGAACGGG
rnacentral:rRNA from 1 species